GCAGAGAAAAAGAGAAGAAAACUGGAGUGGCUGACCAGGAGCUGAGCAGCAACAGUGAUCAAAAGAAAAAUACCAAGAAUUUAUAAGGCAGCACCAGUGAUUUCAAAAGGAUGCCAACAGAUUUGUAAACUAUAAACAAUAGGACUACAUGGCUUUCAUUUUUCAUCUAAGGGACAAUGCCCAGCCUCCAUUUUGCAACUGACCAGUGAAUAAAAAAGGAAAAAGUUAUGUAUAGUUCCAUGACUUUCCAGAUUCAUGGGGAAUGUUCGUUUUUUGAAUUCACUGAAAGAUGGCUAAGUCCACCACCAAGCAGAUGUGUUGAGAAGAGAUGACCUUGUCAAAGAGUACCUGCCGUGGGACACCU